GGGGAUGUAGCUUAGUGGUAGAGCACUUGCCUAGUAUGUGCAAGUCCCUAGGUUCAAUCCCCAGCACCA
rnacentral:tRNA from 1 species